GAUGAACGCUGGCGGCGUGCCUAAUACAUGCAAGUCGAGCGAACAGACGAGGAGCUUGCUCCUCUGACGUUAGCGGCGGACGGGUGAGUAACACGUGGAUAACCUACCUAUAAGACUGGGAUAACUUCGGGAAACCGGAGCUACUACCGGCUAAUAUAUUGAACCGCAUGGUUCAAUAGUGAAAGACGGUUUUGCUGUCACUUAUAGAUGGAUCCGCGCCGCAUUAGCUAGUUGGUAAGGUAACGGCUUACCAAGGCGACGAUGCGUAGCCGACCUGAGAGGGUGAUCGGACACACUGGAACUGAGACACGGUCCAGACUCCUACGGGAGGCAGCAGUAGGGAAUCUUCCGCAAUGGGCGAAAGCCUGACGGAGCAACGACGCGUGAGUGAUGAAGGUCUUCGGAUCGUAAAACUCUGUUAUUAGGGAAGAACAAAUGUGUAAGUAACUAUGCACGUCUUGACGGUACCUAAUCAGAAAGCCACGGCUAACUACGUG
rnacentral:rRNA from 1 species